GAUGAACGCUGGCGGCAUGCCUAACACAUGCAAGUCGAACGGACCUUUAUUUUUGAGAGUUCCUUUAUAGAAAUUCUCAAAAUACUGGUUAGUGGCGGACGGGUGAGUAACACGUUGGUACCUACCCUCUAGUGGGGAAUAACUUCGAGAAAUCGAGGCUAAUACCGCAUGUGGUCUACGGAUCAAAGCAGUAAUGCGCUAGAGGAGGGGCCUGCGUCUGAUUAGCUUGUUGGCGAGGUAAAAGCUCACCAAGGCGACGAUCAGUAGCUGGAUCGAGAGGUUGACCAGCCACACUGGGACUGAGAUACGGCCCAGACUCCUACGGGAGGCAGCAGUGAGGAAUCUUCCACAAUGGACGAAAGUCUGAUGGAGCAAUGCCGCGUGCAGGAUGACGGCCUUCGGUUGUAAACUGCUUUAUAUGGUAAGAGUAUGAGUACCGAUAUGAAUAAGGACCGGCUAACUACGUAGCCAGCA
rnacentral:rRNA from 1 species